rnacentral:rRNA from 1 species
GACGAACGCUGGCGGCGUGCUUAACACAUGCAAGUCGAACGGAAAGGCCCCUUUGGGGGUACUCGAGUGGCGAACGGGUGAGUAACACGUGAGUAACCUGCCCUUGACUUCGGGAUAACUUCAGGAAACUGGGGCUAAUACCGGAUAGGAAUCCUUGCUGCAUGGUGGGGGUUGGAAAGCUUCGGCGGUUUUGGAUGGACUCGCGGCUUAUCAGCUUGUUGGUGGGGUAGUGGCUUACCAAGGCUUUGACGGGUAGCCGGCCUGAGAGGGCGACCGGCCACAUUGGGACUGAGAUACGGCCCAGACUCCUACGGGAGGCAGCAGUGGGGAAUAUUGCACAAGGGGCGGAAGCCUGAUGCAGCAACGCCGCGUGCGGGAUGACGGCCUUCGGGUUGUAAACCGCUUUCAGCAGGGGCGAAGCUUGUGGUGACGGUACCUGCAGAAGAAGCACCGGCUAACUACGUG